UACGUAGGGUGCGAGCGUUGUCCGGAAUUAUUGGGCGUAAAGAGCUCGUAGGCGGUUUGUCGCGUCUGCUGUGAAAACCCGAGGCUCAACCUCGGGCCUGCAGUGGGUACGGGCAGACUAGAGUGCGGUAGGGGAGAUCGGAAUUCCUGGUGUAGCGGUGAAAUGCGCAGAUAUCAGGAGGAACACCGGUGGCGAAGGCGGAUCUCUGGGCCUUACCUGACGCUCAGGCACGAAAGCUAGGGGAGCGAACAGG
rnacentral:rRNA from 1 species